UGGGGAAUUUUGGACAAUGGGCGCAAGCCUGAUCCAGCCAUGCCGCGUGCGGGAAGAAGGCCUUCGGGUUGUAAACCGCUUUUGUCAGGGAAGAAAUCUUCUGAGUUAAUACCUCGGGAGGAUGACGGUACCUGAAGAAUAAGCACCGGCUAACUACGUGCCAGCAGCCGCGGUAAUACGUAGGGUGCAAGCGUUAAUCGGAAUUACUGGGCGUAAAGCGUGCGCAGGCGGUUUUGUAAGACAGAGGUGAAAUCCCCGGGCUCAACCUGGGAACUGCCUUUGUGACUGCAAGGCUUGAGUGCGGCAGAGGGGGAUGGAAUUCCGCGUGUAGCAGUGAAAUGCGUAGAUAUGCGGAGGAACACCGAUGGCGAAGGCAAUCCCCUGGGCCUGCACUGACGCUCAUGCACGAAAGCGUGGGGAGCAAACAGGAUUAGAUAGCCCUGGUAGUCCACGCCCUAAACGAUGUCAACUGGUUGUUGGGAAGGUUCCUUCUCAGUAACGUAGCUAACGCGUGAAGUUGACCGCCUGGGGAGUACGGCCGCAAGGUUGAAACUUAAAUGAAUU
rnacentral:rRNA from 1 species